AUGAGGAUUCAAAAAAACAGAAGAAGAGAGAUGGUCAGAUUUGGCUACAGGAAACUCAGUGUGGUAGCACCAUGGAAGGUGGAAGAAAGGGGGCAAGUCAGAGGGAAAGAGGCUGGUUCAGUUGGGAGGUCCCUGCAAGGAAGCAGUCCAGAAAAUGACGACCUGGAUAAAGGCAAGUCUUCCAAGAAUGCAGAGAAAAAGACAUCCCAACAUUAUUUUCCUCCAGGCCAGCCUGAAAUCAUUCUCAGGCAUGCAGAACAGUUAAAAAUGACACUUGUGUGUGAAAAAGGCAAAGCUGAUCUUGAGAACUUAGCCAUAUUGCCAACUCAGCAGCCCCAAUCCCCCAAGGCUUCACACCCCACUAGCACCUCAGCGCCCACCCCUCCCACAGGCAGGGACGAAGACAUCCCAGCAGCCAGAGAAACGCUCCGAAGCAGCAGCAGAGGGGGGAGAAGAACAUUACAGAGCUCAGCAUCUGUGGCACGCAGCUGCCAAGCAGCCUCCAUGUGCCCCUGCAGCUGUCGGCGUGAUGGCAACGGAAGAAGGAACAGAAGGACGAAAAGAACUUUCAGCAACAGGCUCCGAGUGCCAGGCAGGUACCUUAGGGCAUGUUCUUCAGACUUGGACUUUCAACUCUGGAACACUCAACUCUAUAUUUGUGUGAGGUCAGGUCAGUAUGAAGAGCACUGAGCCUGGAGCUGUGACCUGAGUCCUAAUCACAGCUCCGUUGAUAAACGAAUGGAGUCAGCACCUUGGGAGAACAUAAGAAAGCACGGUCAGGGUGGUGAAGAGUGUCAUGGUACCAACAGUGAUGGGGAGACCGACCACUCUAUAUGAGAGGAUGUUUCUACAAACUCUUGAAGAUUGGCCGCGAUUUGUGUGUAAUUAUUAACCAAUCUCCUUUUAGUUCACUUUGGUGUAUUUUCAUCUUUUCAUUUGUGCUAAUAAUUCUAACAUUCAAAAUAUAUCACAAACACAGGUUUAAGAUCACUGACUAAAUCAUGGAAGUGGAAGAGAACAAAGGGGACACUUAAGCAUGCAGAAAUUAAACCCCCGUGUCACUAACUCAGUACCUCUAACUUUGAAAUGUGAUCGUGUGGCCAUUUUCAGAGAUUCUUGUUAACAGUGAUGUUUACUGGCCACUAGAAAACUAAUCAGAGCCACUAUAGCAACUGAAAAGCCUUGGUUUAACUUUGUGCAAAUAAUACCAUACAAAUAGCUCCACUUGUGCCUAAUCACACUGUGCAUCACAAUCAGCAUCAUAUUUAUUGUAUCAGAUUAUUUUAUUCUUAUCUUUAUUAAAUUUUUCUGAGUUUUAACUAACUCAUGUGUGUGUGUAUGUUCAAAUAUAUAUAGCAGUAAAUAUAACAAACCUCUAUAUACAUACAUAUAAUAUAUAUUCAUAUAUAUUUUUAUGAUUAUUGAAAUAUAAAGAGAUAAGUAUCUAGAUACAUAGAAUCAUCUCUCUGUCUCUCUCCACAUAUGUGUGUGUGGGUGUCUGAACAAGAACGCACACACACAUACACACACACACACGUACACAAUGAGAGAGAAAGAGAGAAAUAGACACAAAGCACAAAAAACUGAUUGCCUAUGAGUUGUCAGCACCUCUUCUCUUCACAAAAAUAACCCAAAUUUUGGUGGGGAUGCUAAUAUGUCCAACUUUAAAAAAAUACAUUUGCAGCAUUGCUUGCAAAGAAGAGUGGCUAUAUAUCUAACUGUUGACCAACAAAGUAGUAGAACUUGUGGGCUUGGAGCUUCCAGAGGAGCAGGCUAAAAGUAGGGCUGAUGAGGCGGGCAAGCAUGCUUGCCCAUUGCCUUCCGGCUUCUCCCUGCUGGCAGCACUGACUCUACACUUGCUGAGGAUCAGCCAACUUGUGAUUCUGAAGUGACAAGUCCAUGCUAUGGAUGGCGAAGUGGAAAGGUUGAGGGAGGCUAGGUCUUUGCUCUCAUCAAGAUUUGCCAAACCAGCUUUGGAUUACUUGCCUCCAUACUUCUCAUAUAUGAGGAAAAUCAAACUCCUGCUCAGCUGGUAAAGAAUCCCCCUGCAAUGCAGGAGACCUGGGUUCGAUCCCUGGGUUGGGAAGAUUCCCUGGAGAAGGGAAAGACUACCCACUCCAGUAUUCUGGCCUGGAGAAUUCCAUGGACUUGUAUAGGCCAUGGGGUCACAAAGAGUCGGUCACGACUGAGUGACUUUGACUCUCAGUGUUUUACAGCCACUCUGGGAGUUUCUGUUUUCAGUAGUGAAAUAUAAUUCUUAACUGAUGCAAGAACAUUGAUCCUUACCCUCAAGGCAUGUAUAUUUUCACUGACAAAACCAGGUAGGUAUUCAUGUUUGACCUGAUUAAACAAGAACAUGGACACGUAUAUGACUGAGUGCUUUACAAAUAGCACAAGCUGUAAAUGCUCCAGUACUUCAGAAGAGAAGAGUAUGCACUGGAGCUUUUGAAAAACAUCUUCAAAUGGAAAGGACCUGCACUGGCCCUAACACACAAAGACAUGCUAAUAAUUAGAGAUUUAGGGAGUGCGUCCCAGGCAUAGAGAAUAGCAAUAAUUGAUACAAACUCCAAGGAGAAAAAAUAAAGAAAAGCACAGUUUGCUGACUGAUUGGGCC
ensembl:lncRNA